rnacentral:rRNA from 1 species
UGGGGAAUAUUGCGCAAUGGAGGCAACUCUGACGCAGCAACGCCGCGUGUGUGAAGAAGGCUUUCGGGUCGUAAAGCACUGUUGAGUAGGAAGAGAAGGGAGCGGUUAAUACCCGUUCCCCCGACGGUACUAUUCGAGGAAGCACCGGCUAACUCCGUGCCAGCAGCCGCGGUAAUACGGAGGGUGCAAGCGUUGUUCGGAAUUAUUGGGCGUAAAGGGCGCGUAGGCGGGUUUUUAAGUCUGGUGUGAAAUCCCUCGGCUCAACCGAGGACGUGCAUUGGAUACUGAAAACCUUGAGUCCUGGAGAGGAAAGCGGAAUUCCCAGUGUAGAGGUGAAAUUCGUAGAUAUUGGGAGGAACACCGGUGGCGAAGGCGGCUUUCUGGACAGUGACUGACGCUGAGGCGCGAAAGCGUGGGUAGCAAACAGG